AUAGUUGAAAAACAAAAAGGGGUUCCGAAAGUGUUUUUUCUCUCCUGUGACUGACUCGCCUAGAGAAAAUCAGCACAUACCACAUAAGUAUCCUAUACGUCAAUGUCUGUAAUAAUGGUAGAUCAAAUAUCAUGUCUGUGUGGUACUUUUUGCCAAACCACCAAUCCAUGUAUAGAUGCGCUACGUAAACAAAGUUGUUGAUUGAUGCAUCGUAAUGUCCGAGUGCUGGAUGCCGCGAAAUUAAAUACUGUUUAUACAGUUAUUGAGAGGCUAAAUAAAGUUUCUUGCAAGAAGAGGAAUUUGGUGGAUGCAUUCAACUUGGACAAUGAAAUGAUAGGUCCGUUUGGACCAAUGGAGGUUGGAUAGGACCAGUGCAGGUUGAAGUGGGUUUCGAGUCAACAAGUUCAACAGCAAGAGAGGUACUCCAUUUACAGUGAUGAUGACAUAUCCCCUGGACCCCCACAACUCCACAAAUUUAAAAAUGUUUGAUCAAGUUCCGGAGAGGAAAGAACUACUGCAAAAUUUGGGACUUGGAUGAAAAACAGUAAUUCACUUAUGAGCUCAGAGCAGUAGACAACAAACUUUAAACUACAAAUGUAAAUUGUGAAUUUAAGGGAAAACAAGUAUAUGUACUCGUGUUUUACAUGUACAUACCAUUUGAAAGACAAUAAUAUUGCAUAAAUGUAAAGGAAAUUUCACUGUUGAUUAUUCUUUCUUUGAUAUAUUAGUAAAAAUGUGCCCAUGAUAGAAUACCAAUUUUAUAACUUCAAAUAAUGUGUUUGAAUUUUAUUUGUAAAUCAAAAUUUAAUUGAAAGAUACAUCAUUGAUACAUUAAUGUACAUGAUUUUUUUUUAUAGAAAAGUUCCAUAAUGGAACUAAUUCACCCCUCCCUUAUACAUACAGUGAACAUUGACCUUCACCUGGGGAUAUUACAGUUAGUUAAUGCAAUAUACAUGCAUUCUCAUAUAUCCAAUAGUGAGUUUUUGGUUCAUUGUGAAACUACAAUUAGGACUCUUAAGCUUAUGAAAGACAUACAUAUCUGUGGGGGUAAGAUGGCUCAGAUGGACUUAGUGAUCCAUGGGCAGUCCAUGGGUUUCUUUCCAUUGAUAUUAAUUAUUUAUUGAAAUGUGAAAUGGUUCUUUAAACAUGUUCGGUGUAUUAUACUGUAUAGUGAUAUCAAUUUCUAUCAGAAAAUGUGUAUAGGUAAUAUAUUGGGUCCAGUUAUUACAAGAAAUUGUAUGAAAAAUAACUAAAUAUUUAGGCAAUCAUUGUGAGUGCAAAAAGGUCACUGCAAGAGCACAUACUAUAGAUCAUUCUUAAAUGGCUCAUAGAAACUUCUAGUAUUGUGAUGUUGAAUGCUCAAAGUGGUAAUUUGGGAAUGCUUAAUCAUUUAAGUUAUGAUAAAGUCAGUAGUUUACCUCUGCUGACGGUAUCUCUUAAAAUUCAUUUCUGGAAGGGAGGGGGUACGGUUACAAAAUUUGACAUAGUUUCAGAUUUAACCUCAUUUGGGAUAUUUUUUCUAUUCAAUAUUUUAGAUAUCACUUGACUUAUUGUACAAAUGAAAUAAAAUCAGAAAUUUUAUGAGCAGAAUUUUGUUGUCAGAAAAUUUAUGCCUGAUAGUGUUUGAAAAACGCCAUAUUUAGGCCAAUUGUUAAGUAGAAUCAUCCCAAUGUUUUCCUUAGAUGCAUUUUGAAUUUCUAAUUAAUGUUGAUUUUUUAUCUGUUUGUGUUUAAUUUACACAACUAUAUAUGACAAACAAUAUUUCUGGUGACAAUACAAUUUUUAUUGGUCUCUGUUAAUUUGCUCAAUUUUGGCAUUUUUUGCCUAUUGGGGCCGCAAAAGAGGGGAUUUCAAUCUCACUUUCCUCGAAAAUUAACAUGAUUACCUAUGUCGAUUUUUUUAAUAUGUUUUAGGAUAAAGUCCAAAUAUUGUAAUAAAUAAAAUUGAGAAAAAUUCAAUGAGUGUUUUUUUAGGGACUAGCUAUCUUGAUAUAUCAAAUCUGAUAAGCCAAUGGAUGUUUUUAUCCUAAGUUUUGUUUGUCUUCUCAAGUAGUCACAUCUUCAAUAUUUAUUACAUUUUGCAAUAUACCAUAUCUCCGUGGGGGUAAUGCUGCUAGUUAGCAGGGUUCCAGGGUGAGUGGGGCUGCUUUAUAGCCAGGUUUUCGGAGGAUAAAUGGAUAGAGGGAAGGUUACUCUUGUACUCUGUACAGGGAAACAGUGUAUGGGCAAAUGAAUACGUAUAUCAUAUCAUAUCAUAUUUUUAAAAGAAUUACCCUAUAUACAUGUAUCAGCACCCCUAUUGUUGCCCGAUCCUACACCCGGGGACCAUGAUUUCAACAAACUAAUCUACUCUAUGUCAGGAAGCUUACAUGUAAAAUUCCACCUUUCUAGCCCAACUAAUGAAAAGGAAGUUUUAUGAAUGAAAUUCAAAUGAGGGAGAAAAGUUGCCCUACUAUUGAGUAUAUAAGUGUAAAUUGAAGUUAUAGUGCGAGAGAAAAAAUACUAGGAGGAAUCGUUUCUUGCUUUUACACUAAACACAUUAAAACUAGUUUAAUCUAAAUUUAAAGGGACUUUCAUACGGUGAUAGACUCCAAGAAAUCUGGAGGUUUUAACGAUACGCCUUUAUACUGUACACAAACUCCGCCAUAAAUUUAAUACAAUUCAAUAAAGAGAGAAAACGUGAAAAAAUGCAUAGUUCAGGAGAUAUUGAAUAGGUUUUUAAAAAGUAGGCCAAUGUCACAAGUUCCAACUUCACAAUGAAUAAUAAGGUCUUGCCAUAAAGAAUUUACAUACAAAGUAUCAAAUUUAUAUCAAGAAUAGUUCCAGUAGGUUAUGUUCUUUUAAUAGUGGGUCAACUUUUCGAGUUCAAGGUCACAAAGUCAAAAUCCAUAAAAUGAAAUGAAAGGUUUUGCUAUAUGAAGUAUGAAUACAAAAUGUAAUAGAUCUACCUUAGAUAGUUUAGGAAAUAUUGAAUAGGUGAAUGUUUUUAUUAAAAGUAGUUCAAACUUUCAGGUCAAGGUCACAAGAUCACACACCAUUGCAUCACAUGAAAGGUCUUGCUGUAAGAAUGUAUAAACAAAAUAUGAAAGCCC